AUGUAUAACUUUCCCCCAUUUGGAAACGAUGUACCAAGUAACCCUUCAGCUAACCAGACUUCAGCUAGCUUUGCUUAUGUUGAGGGUCCAGAAGACAACUCUACUCAGGCAGAGUCUCCAAUGAGCAAUGUUUCACCUUCAUCUGCUGCUAUGCAGGAUAUUUCUGCUGUCAGUAUCAUAAUUUCCAGAUUUGUGCCCAAUUCUGCAAUAACACGGAGGAUGAUGGCUGUUUCUGAGGAAAACAGCAUCUCAGCACCUGUAUCCAUAACCACCCACCAGUAUAAGUCUGAUUCCAUUGCUAUUCCCCACUAUCAGGGAAACACCAAAGCAACCCAGAGUCUUGAACCCUUCUUGCUAUCCACUGGAAGAUCUAAGCCAUUCUUUGCUCCUAAUCAUGCUGCAUACAUACAAAACACUAAGAAUGAGUUUAGUGCCUCUGCAGACGAGAGAAACACUGCCAUAUCAAAUUCAAACAACCUCCUUGGAACUUAUACCACUACUGGUGAGGAAGAAGCAAGACUAGAGAAUAUAUUCUUCACUGAUACUACCACUCUUACGAAAGAAGGCAAUACAGCUACAAUUGAUGCCACAGACAUUCUAGAAGAUUAUACAACUCUGCUUGAUGUUCCUGACAUGGAGGAUGAAAAUGUAAUUAUAAGUGAUACUACUUACCUGGAAAGAUAUGGCAAAACUAUGAGCAACUCUCCAGAUGCUCCACAGAAAGACAAUUCUGUUGUAAUUAAUGCCACAGACAAAAAGAAUCACCACAGAACUACAGUUAAUACUCAAAUGCGUAGCGUUUCCUCUGCAAAAAAUACCAAUGACUUUGAAUCUUAUCCUAUUCUGCGUACUUAUAACAAGGCUGAUAUCAAAUCUAGCAUGACCAACACUGAUGCUGAUGAAGCCACUUCCAAUAUCAAUCCCAUUAAUACUAAAAAUUCUUUUCUUAAUUAUAGAAUGUAUAAGAAAAACAAUAAUGCUAUUAGUAAUUUCAAUGAUACAAAGACAAUGUUAGAUGUAGCUAAAAAUACGAUGCAUGCAGGGGACUUAACUUUUUCCAAAACAAAUGGCAUCACUUCUACAAAGCAUUAUGCUAACCCUAACUCCAUAGCACCAACAACUAACAUUAAUUUUAAAACAGCUCGGCCUUCAAAGGAAAAGAAAAAAAUAAAGUAUAAGGAGCACAUAAACAACAAAAUGUUUAGAAACAAGUUUCAAUGUUGUCCAAAUCACAAAAAAGUUAAGGGGUAAAAAGUAAAUGAUCAACAAAAGAGGAUGUGCAUUAAAGAGACCAAAAGAGACAAGCUGAUGGCUUGAAAAAGUAAUCCAAUCAAAAGCAUCACUUUGUAUUAGGAAAGAUGAAUUAGGAAUUAUAUACAGUUGAAAAUGAGAAAUUGAAUGCUCAACUUUUAAAAGUUAAUAAAUAAUAAAACUAUAUCCCA
rnacentral:lncRNA from 12 species